rnacentral:rRNA from 1 species
UGGGGAAUAUUGGACAAUGGGCGCAAGCCUGAUCCAGCCAUGCCGCGUGAGUGAUGAAGGCCCUAGGGUUGUAAAGCUCUUUCACCGGUGAAGAUAAUGACGGUAACCGGAGAAGAUGCCCCGGCUAACUUCGUGCCAGCAGCCGCGGUAAUACGAAGGGGGCUAGCGUUGUUCGGAUUUACUGGGCGUAAAGCGCACGUAGGCGGACUUUUAAGUCAGGGGUGAAAUCCCGGGGCUCAACCCCGGAACUGCCUUUGAUACUGGAAGUCUUGAGUAUGGUAGAGGUGAGUGGAAUUCCGAGUGUAGAAGUGAAAUUCGUAGAUAUUCGGAGGAACACCAGUGGCGAAGGCGGCUCACUGGACCAUUACUGACGCUGAGGUGCGAAAGCGUGGGGAGCAAACAGG